UACGUAGGGUGCGAGCGUUAAUCGGAAUUACUGGGCGUAAAGUGUGCGCAGGUGGCCGCGCAAGUCGAGUGUGAAAUCCCCGAGCUUAACUUGGGAAUUGCGCUCGAAACUACGUGGCUCGAGUGUGGCAGAGGAAGGUGGAAUUCCACGUGUAGCGGUGAAAUGCGUAGAUAUCUGGAGGAACACCGGUGGCGAAGGCGGCAUCCUGGACCAAUAUUGACGCUGAGGAGCGAAAGCCAGGGGAGCAAACGGG
rnacentral:rRNA from 1 species